CUAAUGCAUGCUACACACCUCUCAUGUGUCAGGCAUCGUUGUAAACCUUUCAUGCAAAUUACUACAUUUCAUCUUCCCAGCAGCCCUGUGAGGAAGGAGGCACUAGCACAGCAUUUUACAGAGGAAACAAAAUCAGAGAGGAUAGGAAACCUGUCCAAAGUCAUAUGGCUGAUAAGAGGCAGAGUGAAGACUGGACCUGAGCAAGUUUGGUGUAGAAGCCUGUGCUCUUAACUGCCAUCCUAGAUUCUUUCUUAAGACUUCUUCUGAGGAACUGAAGACACAUUUUGUAGAAGUUGAUGGAUUAAGAAAAAGAAGUUGCAUUUUAUUACCUAUCCUAAAGAUAGAAGGUUCCUCGCAUGACUGACAGCUUAGAAGCCAGAGGUCAAGGGAGCCUAUCGAUCAAUGCACUCCACGCAAAUAUGUCCCAGGAGCAGGAUAGAACAAGAGAGAGAGAGGUUCAGGAAACAUCUGAAGGGGAAUGGGCAAGUGAUGCCUGAACGGUACUGGCAGAAGAUAAAUGGUGGAGGAACAAAAACUUGCCAAGAAAAUUAAUCUUCAGAGAAAAAACAUGGAAAGACAUACACAAAAAGUGAUUCUUACACUGUGAGAGAGAGGCUUCUUGAAGUCUUGUAAGCUCUGAUAUGUGGCCAGUGAAGAAAUAGGAUAAUGCAUGGAAUGUAUCAUUAUAAUAACAACUUCUCUUUUUCUACCAUCUACAGAAAACCUCUUUGAACCAAAUUGAAUAGAAUUUCUAUUUCUUGCAUUGGAGAAAGCUGGUAAUUUUACAAAUCAAUUUUAAAAAGAUGAGCCCUCUGCCCACCCCAAAUGUACGUGCUCAGCAAAAGGAGGACAAUAUGUAUACAGGUUAAUAAUAUUUAAUAAAAGCAAUGAGAAAUAAAAAUGCCAUCUUACUUUUUAAAUAUCAAUUUGGAAAACAAUCUACAGACUAACACUUAAUGUUGAUUAGGGGAUAGGGAAAUUAGCCCACUCAUAUGACGUUUUCUCACCAGAUAAUUCCACUUGUGAGGAAUCACUCCGGAGAAAUAAGAUGCUCAGAAGAGGCUAAAUGAGAAUAGUCACUAUGGUAUCAUUUAUAAAAUAAAACAACAAAUUGAAUAUUAAAAGCCAUUGAAUUAAAAAAUUGUGAUGUAUUCGGUGAAUAUUUUGCAGCUUUAAAUAUGAUACUCUGAUUUGUAAAUAAUUUAGUAUACUUUCAAAGGCAAACCUGAUCUUAUAAGACCCUAUGAAAAAUAGAUUUAUCUAAAUUGUCUGUGAAUACAUAUGUGCAAACACACACACACAUAAAUGAGUACACAUGCAUACAUAUGAUUAUCAAAUAUAUAUUUAAACAUAUACAUAUCUACAUAUACAUACAUAUAUGUGGGUAUGUGGGUGUUUGCACAUUAUGUGUAUUGACAUAGAGAAUAAUUUUGUAAAAGCAUAUACCAGGGGUUGGUAAACUACUUCUUUUAGUCCAAAUCCAUCCCACUACCUGAUUUUGCAAAUAUUGGAACACAGUCAUAUUCAUUUGUUUAUGUAUUAUCUUCAGUUGCUUUCAUGCUACAGUAGCAAAGUUAAGUUGUUGAGACAGAGAUUACAUGCCUGCAAAACAGUAAAAUAUUUACUAUCUGGCCCUUUGGCAAACAGAAAAUGUUUGCCAACCGGUAUUAUAAACCACAAUAUUGUGACUAUGGGGAUGGGAUUUCAAAUGAUUAAAUACUUUUCUUUUUUCUUAGGUAUAACACAAUUUAUACGUAGAUCGUUUUCUUGGGUAAUAACUUUUAAAAAUGAAGAAUAAUAACUAGCUAUCAUUCAUUUAGAAUGAGAAAGACUCCUAUAAUUUAAUUUUUACAAAACCGAAAAAAUUUCUACUUGGUUUUAUGCAUAUACUAAUUCACAAUGAAAAUGUGUUUUGGAGUUUUACAACCAUAUGUGUCAUGUGAACAGCUACAGCAGCAACAACAAAACUUUGUAGUUCUAGCUUCAUAUGUUUAAUAGAAGUAGCAUUUGCAAAGAAUUCAUGGAGAUGUUGUGUUUUUGAGGAACAGAACAUAUAUUAUCUCAGUUUUAUUUAAAAAUAUUUUUGUUUUCAGGCUGCCCUAUUUGGAUUGUCUUAAUGCUUGUGAUAGAGAGUUGCCUCUGAGGUCAAGACGUUUUUGAGGUUGCUAUCUAUAGAAGAUUUCCUUUUGAAGAGAUUAGGAUUUUAUGCAGACACCAAAAGAUCUGAGAUGGCAACUUGAAGAGUUUUAUAUUAUAGCAUUGCCUGGCAAGAGAAAAUAGAUGCUAGCCAAGAAUAGCAUCUGGUUGAUUUGGGCUAGAUUAUGCUUGUUAGUUACAUCAAUUACUCUUGUUCCAAAUCCUUUCUAAGUGGUCAUGCUGUCUUUUCUUAAAUUCCUAAAGGAGGCUCUCCAAUGGGAAGAAGAUGGACUGAUAGCCUAAUGUUCCAUGUGGUUAUUAUAUUCUUCAUUAUGAACAAUGGUAGUCAGAUUGCAGUAAUCUCAUCUGACAAGUGGACUGAUGGCCAGUGCAUUUCUUCCUUCAAACUUUCAUUGUGGGUCAAAUGUGGAUAAAAGUGUUUGAAAUUGACUCAUAUCCUCCAAUUACUCCCUCCAUCAUGGGACUAGAUGAGCAACCUGAGACAGGUCCAUCCUGGUACUAAAGAAAUGAAAACUUUACUACAGGGUCAUUGGUCAGUGAUGCUUUCAGGGAAAGAUUUUUAUCAAAAGGGGGAAAUGUGAAAGUUGUCAGAAUCAAAAUGGAGUCACUUGUGUUAACAACAACAGCAACCCUGACAAAGAGUAAGAAAAGAUCAUGAAGAGAGGGUUCUCAUGCAUAAGCACCUAAUAACAGGAACUAUCACAAAAAACUCUACCAAAACCACAACGUUGCACAAAGACAACUGCAAUUUUACACAAAAAAACAUACGACUGCGAGGAAGCCGGGCAUGGUUUUUCAUACCGUAGACUUUGGGAAGCUGAGGUGGGAAGAUCACUUGAGCCCAGGAGUUUGAGACCAGCCUGGGCAACAAAAUGAGAACCUGUCUCAAAAAAAAAAAAAAAAGAAAAACUUUUGUGAGGACAUCUGUCCGGCAACUGUCUUUACAGCUUCAAACUGGCAUUACUCUUGUUAUUGACCCUUAUAGCCAAGGAUAUUUAUCUCAAAAUAAUUAUUUAAUUCUUCUAUUUUUUUGUCUUCCUUUAUCUCCCUGAAUAUGCACAUAGUUUAUUAUGGCACAUGUGUUCUCAUUGCAAUGACCUAUUCUUGAAUAAAUAUUCUUUUCUUUUAGAGACCCUGUCUCUCUUAUUAAGGUUAACAUUUCUAACUGCUUAAUACCUAAAACUGCUAGGUAUUUCUUUUGACCUAAGAUUUACAUGAAGCAAUUAGUGAGGCACUAAAGGGCACCAUGAAACAAGAAAGACUGGGGAUAUCUGCACGUCAGCAUUACAUUAACAGUCUCAUUUAUGCCUUUUUCUUUGGUGUAAACUUGUCUAG
rnacentral:lncRNA from 10 species